GCCGAACCGUGCGAACGUUGUUCGGAAUCACUGGGCUUAAAGGGCGCGUAGGCGGACUGCCAAGUCCGGGGUGAAAUCUUUCGGCUCAACCGGAAAAUAGCCUCGGAGACUGGCGGUCUGGAGGGGGGUAGGGGCAGCUGGAACUUCCGGUGGAGCGGUGAAAUGCGUUGAUAUCGGAAGGAACGCCGGUGGCGAAAGCGAGCUGCUGGACCUUUUCUGACGCUGAGGCGCGAAAGCCAGGGGAGCAAACGGG
rnacentral:rRNA from 1 species